AGCUCGCUCUUCCGAGACGUUUUACCGGAGACCGAAUUUAUAAUUCCAGCGGCUGGGGGACCCGGAGAGCGCCGCUUUUGUCGCGCACCUUAACACGGAACAGCUGGUCGGUAGGCGAUGGCCGGUGAUGCAGUGCAACGGAUGUGUCCCCUGAGGCCUUGCGCUUGCGUGAGGCGGGGUUCUGGCCUUGGUGUGAGGUCUCAGGAAUACCAUUCGCCGCUGCACCAGGAAGAUAAUAUGCAUCCAUUGGUGGUGAGGGUUCCUGAACGGAAGAAAAGGAAGAAAGUUUUCCAUAGACCCUUAAUAAAUCAAUAAGCCAA